rnacentral:rRNA from 1 species
AUUGAACGCUGGCGGCAUGCCUUACACAUGCAAGUCGAACGGCAGCACGGACUUCGGUCUGGUGGCGAGUGGCGAACGGGUGAGUAAUAUAUCGGAACAUACCUUGUAGUGGGGGAUAACUAUCCGAAAGGAUAGCUAAUACCGCAUACGCUCUAAGGAGGAAAGUGGGGGAUCGCAAGACCUCAUGCUAUAAGAGUGGCCGAUAUCUGAUUAGCUAGUUGGUGAGGUAAAGGCUCACCAAGGCGACGAUCAGUAGCUGGUCUGAGAGGACGACCAGCCACACUGGAACUGAGACACGGUACAGACUCCUACGGGAGGCAGCAGUGGGGAAUGUUGGACAAUGGGGGCAACCCUGAUCCAGCAAUGCCGCGUGAGUGAAGAAGGCCUUCGGGUUGUAAAGCUCUUUUGUCAGGGAAGAAACGGUUGUGGCUAAUAUCCAUGGCUAAUGACGGUACCUGAAAAAUAAGCACCGGCUAACUACGUGCCAGCCGCCGCGGUAAAAC